CUAUACACACACACACACGGGUCAGUCCUGCGGAAACACACACUGAGACACUCUCUGUACAGCCUGGAGGAAACACACACUCCGAUGUGAUUAGCAGACCUAUGUGUGUGUGUGUGUGUGUGUGUGUGAGACACGUUCACACCCUCCGGAUGUAGGACACGGAGAGCGGAAACUCUAUAUAGAGACACGCCCACACCCACAGCUGCCCACAGGGUGGGUACAGGUUAGCCCAUACAUCCCUCGACAUGGUGUGACGUACACCUCCCCGGCUCAUCCCACACUAACUGAGCCAGCAACACUGACCCUAAGAGAUUCCCAUUUUUUCAAAAUGUUGUGCAGUUUGGGAUUUCCCUUCACUGGAACAAAGAGGCCCAAACCUGUUCCAGCAUGCCAGGGCCCCUAUGUACAGAGCCGGCUGAAAGAAGACACGGUGUGUUUAAGGUUGGAGUGGAAGACUUGGAGUGUCCUCUCCAGAGCCCUAACUGACCUCUACACCUUUGGGAUGAACUGGAACACGACCUGCACCCCAGACCUCUUCACCCAGCCUCAGUGCCUGACCGAAUUAAAGCCCAGGUUUCACUUUCAUGUUUUUUGUUUUUAAAAUGACGGCGUGCUGCGGCCCCAGGGUGCUCUGAUGUCAUUGGAUUCAUUGGAACGAGGCGCAGGAAAGGCAAAAGAUGAUGUAAAGGCACGGGAAAGGUUAACGGAGGUUACUUAUGAAUAGUUCUAUUCUGCAGAUCCCUGUGGAUCCCUAUAGUAACAUUCACUUAGCUGUGAUUACCACCCUGGCACUUCUCCUGACCCUCCUUGCCAUCAUGUGCACUACAGCUCCCUACGGUUCGCUACUGAGGGCCACGAAUGUCCACGGAUUGGCCUGUGUGGAAACACAGUGGAAUUAUAUGUUUUGUUCAUGCUUAACAUAUUCACUGCUCAUUUCGGCAAGUUGCAGGUGGCUGAAGGCUCAUUAUGAUUUGUAAAUUCUUAGCAAUCUGAAACAAAAAUUGGGAACUGAGCUAAAUGAUCUUUUGGCUGAAUUCACACAGCGACGCUCCAAAAUCUAGUGGACUCUAACACUUUUGCCAGACGAAUGAAAGCUGUGUUAAUGCCAGUUCUUGAAAUGGCACAUAUGGGUGUGCACAUAUGGAGGGUCCUUCAUGAGCUGUAACACGGGCAUCGUCGUGGUGUUAUAUAGGCUGCACAGACUACUAUAUUUAAAUUAGCUACAUUUAACUAAGAAUCAUUGCACAUAACACAGAACAAAGCAGAACAACAAUGAGAUUAUUAGUAAUAGUAGACCAGUGCCUACACACACAUCCGUACUGUAACUGAUUAUUAAGCUAAAAUGUCUGUGUUAUUUUAAUAUUUUAAAUAGAUAUAGCUAUUCAUACUGCUUAUUUUCCAUAAAUCAA